AUUGAACGCUGGCGGCAGGCCUAACACAUGCAAGUCGAACGAGUGGCGGACGGGUGAGUAAUGUCUGGGAAACUGCCCGAUGGAGGGGGAUAAAUACUGGAAAGGGUAGCUAAUACCGCAUAACAUAGAAUGUGCACAGAUGGGAUUAGAUAGUAGGUGGGGUAACGGCUCACCUGGGCAACGCUCCCUAGCUGGUCUGAGAGGAUGACCAGCCACACUGGAACUGAGACACGGUCCAGACUCCGACGGUAGGCAGCAGUGGGGAAUAUUGCACAAUGGGCGCAAGCCUGAUGCAGCCAUGCCGCGUGUAUGAAGAAGGCCUUCGGGUUGUAAAGUACUUUCAGCGAGGAGGCGUUACUCGCAGAAGAAGCACCGGCUAACUCCGUGCCAGCAGCCGCGGUAAUAC
rnacentral:rRNA from 1 species